rnacentral:lncRNA from 1 species
GAACAUUAAUUAUGUAGCCAAAUGUUCAAGACCACUAACAUGUCACACUGAAAACGUUUUCAUACACAAACACUCGAAGCAUUUGGACGAAAGGCCCUUUCAGACCAGUCCAAAAUGUUGGUGUGACAUCAUUCAAUAUUGUUGGGUCUGUUUGAACAUUAGGUUUGGUAAUGUUGGCUCAUGUUGGAAGAUGUUGGAUCAGGUUUGAUUUUCAAGUUCAAAAUUUUGAUCCAACAUCGUUCAACAUUCUUGGACCAACAAAAUUUUGGAAGAAGUUGGAAUGGUUUGAAAGUUUUACCAGGCAUUGUACAUUUAUUAUCAUUCAUAAUACAA